rnacentral:lncRNA from 1 species
CUAUUAUCUUGAAUAUUAUUAUAGAUAGAGAUAAACUGUAAACAGCAAUAAUGUUCAGCAAAGUAAGAUUUACAAAUAAGUCAACAUGACCAAAAUGGUCAGUUGACCCCUUUAGGAGUUAUUGACCUUUAUAGUCAAUUUUUAACCAUUUUUCGUAAAUCUUAGUAAUCUUUUACAAAAAUCUUCUCCUCUGAAACUACUGGGCCAAAUUAAUCGAAACUUGGCCACAAUCAUCUUUGGGAUAUUUAGUUUUAAAAAUGUGUGGCGUGACCCGGCCAACCAACCAAGAUGGCCGCCAUGGCUAAAAAUAGAACAUAGG